ensembl:snRNA U6atac minor spliceosomal RNA
AUAUUGUAUAAAAGAGGAGGCUUGCAUCUCCAUUAAUAAGGAUAGAAGAGGCUGUGGAGCAUAAAAUAUGAAUAAACAUGCAGCAUUGCCACAUAUUUUGUGUCACAUAACCACUGGUAUUU